AGGAUUAGAUACCCUGGUAGUCCACGCCCUAAACGAUGUACACUAGUUGUUGGGGUGCUAGUCAUCUCAGUAAUGCAGCUAACGCAUUAAGUGUACCGCCUGGGGAGUACGGUCGCAAGAUUAAAACUCAAAGGAAUAGACGGGGACCCGCACAAGCGGUGGAGCAUGUGGUUUAAUUCGAAGAUACGCGAAGAACCUUACCUGGGCUUGAUAUCCUAAGAACCUUAUAGAGAUAUGAGGGUGCUAGCUUGCUAGAACUUAGAGACAGGUGCUGCACGGCUGUCGUCAGCUCGUGUCGUGAGAUGUUGGGUUAAGUCCCGCAACGAGCGCAACCCACGUAUUUAGUUGCUAACGGUUCGGCCGAGCACUCUAAAUAGACUGCCUUCGUAAGGAGGAGGAAGGUGUGGACGACGUCAAGUCAUCAUGGCCCUUAUGCCCAGGGCGACACACGUGCUACAAUGGCAUAUACAAUGAGACGCAAUACCGCGAGGUGGAGCAAAUCUAUAAAAUAUGUCCCAGUUCGGAUUGUUCUCUGCAACUCGAGAGCAUGAAGCCGGAAUCGCUAGUAAUCGUAGAUCAGCCAUGCUACGGUGAAUACGUUCCCGGGUCUUGUACUCACCGCCCGUCACACCAUGGGAGUUGAUUUCACUCGAAGCCGGAAUACUAAACUAGUUACCGUCCACAGUGGAAUCAGCGACUGGGGUGAAGUCGUAACAAGGUAACCGUAGGAGAACCUGCGGUUGGAUCACCUCCUUU
rnacentral:rRNA from 1 species